rnacentral:rRNA from 1 species
GACGAACGCUGGCGGCGUGCUUAACACAUGCAAGUCGAACGAUGAAGCCGGAGCUUGCUCUGGUGAAUUAGUGGCGAACGGGUGAGUAACACGUGAGUAACCUGCCCUUGACUCUGGGAUAACUGCGGGAAACUGUAGCUAAUACCGGAUACGACCCUCGGAGGCAUCUCCUGGGGGUGGAAAGAAUUUCGGUCAAGGAUGGACUCGCGGCCUAUCAGCUAGUUGGUGAGGUAAAGGCUCACCAAGGCGACGACGGGUAGCCGGCCUGAGAGGGGGACCGGCCACACUGGGACUGAGACACGGCCCAGACUUCUACGGGAGGCAGCAGUGGGGAAUAUUGCACAAUGGGCGCAGGCCUGGUGCAGCAACGCCGCGUGAGGGAUGACGGCCUUCGGGUUGUAAACCUCUUUUAGCAGGGAAGAAGCGAAAGUGACGGUACCUGCAGAAAAAGCACCGGCUAACUACGUGCCAGCCGCCGCAGUAA